GUGCCCCCUUCAGCAGCACAUAUUCUAAAAUUGGAAUGACACAGAGAUUAACAUGGCCCCUGCACAAAGAUGACAUGCAAAUUCAUAAAGUGUUCCACAUUUUU